CAGCCAACGAGCGUGGCCGAGGUAGCCAGGCCCUGUCCUAGGCACCCAGCCAGUCGAAAGUGGAGCCAGGGCCAGCCCUGCCCCCGAAGAGAUUAGGAUGACCAGAAAGGAACCGGGUUGAACGCCGGUUGAGGCAGAAAUAAUGGCAGAGCGGCCAGGCUGGAAGCAGGCCGCAUUCAGAAAUGUUGGAUUCCGACAAAAUGCGCAUCUCAGAAUCAAAGCAACACAAGAUAAUCAAGUCUUCAGAGGACAGCCUGUCCCAUGGAGGCCAGACUCUGCGUGAAAUCCACAGAAUCAGGCAAGCUCCCCGUGUCCCGUAGAUGGCCAAGGCAAGGAGCACCUGAGCUGUCACAGGGUUCUCCGGCGCUGCCCAUCUCCCAGGGUCACCUUCCACGCCAACCAUAUGGCUCAAGUGGUCCCAGCUCAUCCCUUAAGGUACCUAGGGAAACCUCUGGUUGAAGGGACCUCAAAGACCCACCUGACCCAGCCCAGCUCUCACCUAGUAAAGCCUGGCCGCCCCCAGCACCCCAGCAUCCCUCCUGACGGCUGUCCAGAGCUGGCUGGCACCUCCAGGGAAGGGAGGUGGUUGUGAUGGUCACCACCUCCCAGGGCACUGCCAGGCAGGGAAAUCUGAUGAUGUGGGAAGGGGCGAGAACAGGAUGCGUAUAUGGGGACAAAACCCAUCUAGAGUUUAGAUACUUGCGAGCGCCUCUGGUGACAACGGGGGAUGCGGGGAGAGUGGACACGCACACGAACAGGCUUCAGAAGCCACGUCUGGGGAGCCGCAGGAUUACCUGACGAUUCUUCUAAAGCACUUGGGAUUUUUUAAAAGCCUGAGUCCUGCUGAAAGACAGCACAGCUCUAGACUCCAGAACAAGGUCCGUAAGACGUCUCAUCCAUCCUGUGUCACUACUCGCCUUGUGUGUGGGUGUUUUGUUUCUCUUCUAAACCUCUUGCCACACUGUACAAUGACAAUUAUUUCUUUCCCCUUAGACUACACAGCACCAGGCAAGGAACAUGUGGCCCCUCUUCCUGAGGGGGAUCCAGAGCCUCUGUGGCCUCCAUGCCAAAGGCAAAACAGACUUUCCAUCAAUGUGGGUGGUUCAUGAGGCCAAAAUUUUUCAAUCUCACAAAUCGUAUUUUUCUCGCCUUUCAAUAUUAUAUUGGGGAUUCCAUGGGUUUCUAACGCUUGCCACUCACUCAACCUAAUAACUGGUUAUAUUAAUAUCUCCCAUAUUCUCCUUCUAUUUACUCUCGCUUGGGAGUUGACAAACUGGUAGCAAAGGGACUCCUCUAACACGCUCACAUAAUCACUGCCGCCUCCCCUGCCCCAGGGAAGGGGCUUCAUAUAUGCCUGGGAGGUGAACAAGGAGACCAGCCCCGCCAGCUCCUGCUAAGAGGAUGGCAUUGUCAUCCACCUGCUCGAAGCAAGUUUCCAGGACACGAGGAGCCCCUGUGUGAUAUGGACUGCAUGGCCCUGCCAAGGUUAACGCUGUUUAAUUACCCAGCAUUUUAAAAUCAUCAUGUCCCAAUCACAUAAAACUCAUCUGCCAGUAACUUCUAGAAUUCGACACAUUUCUGCAGGUCAUCGGGACUCCUGGGAACUUGAACCAAGCCAGACGUGCAGCCACCUGCUUGUGAAUCCCCCCUACUUGGGUGGAGUGGUGAGGAGCCUGACUCAGCAGGAAACACCCCUUUGCCAUCUGAAGAAUGGCCUUGGGGACACACGUGUGCACCCUGGACACCCCCAUCAGCGAACUCGGGUUUACCUGCCACGGCAGGUACAAGGAGAAUAAUUUUCCAAAAUGCUCCAACGGGGCGAUCUGUCACAAAUGACAAGUCAAAAAAGGAUGAUGGACGGUGGCUCCUCGCUCAGAAGCAUGCAUCAGCUCCUCCCCUCCACGUCGGUCCCUUCCAGCUGCCAUCGCCCCAGGUCAGGACUGUGCCACCUCUUCCCCUCGAUGACCGACGACCGUACAGCCUCCCUGGCUUGUCCAACCAUGUGUCGAACCCCGAGCGGAUGUGUGCUGUAUGUUAAGCACUAGAAUGUCCUUGUCCCACCUUCACCUGCCAACAGUGGAAAAUGGCUCAUCCCAGAACCUCAACAUCAGAAGGAUCCACUUCAGGGAUUUGUUUUCAAGGAUUUUUAAAAGACUCAUCCUUUCAAAAAAAUAUUCUCCCUCAGACUCCUCAAAGAAUGACACUCCAAGACUAAAGUAUAGUGGCAAGAAGUGCACAUUUGGGUGAAAGAAUUUUUUUUGAUAUUUUAUUUUUUAAGAUUUUAUUUAUUUGUUCAUGAGAGACACACAGAGAGAGGCAGAGACACAGGCAGAGGGAGAAGCAGGCUCCCUGCGGGGAACCCAAUACAGAGCUCGAUCCCAGAACCCCAGGAUCACGCCCUGAGCCGAAGGCAGACACUCAAUCACUGAGUCACCCAGGCGUCCCUAUUUUAUUUAUUUAUUUGAGAAGACAGAGAGCACACAAGCAGGGGGAAGGAAAGGGAGAAGCAGACUCCCCGCUGAGCGAGGAGCCAGAUGUGGAGCUCAAUCCUGAGACUCCGGGAUCAUGACCCAAGCCAAAGGCAAACGCUCACCCACUGAGUCACCCAGGCACCCCUGAGUCAUAGGACUUUACAGAAAUACAAAGAACUGACUGCCAUAAAAGCCAGGCGAGUGGUUACUUCUGGAAGGAGGAAGGGGUCUGUGACCAAAUGGGGCGUCCAGGGUGGCUAGCAAAGUUCCAUCUCUAGACCCAACUUCUAAAAAUCCCUUCAGCCCUAAAUUGGUUUGUGGGGCAUCUGUAUCUGCUUUUCAUUUUACAAUAAAACAGUUCACCCCUU